GGAUCGGUAGUGUAGUGGAUAGCACCUCACAAUCCAAAGAACUGGUGGUAGAGUGAAAAUGGGUGGUUCGAUUCCCUCCUGACCCG
rnacentral:tRNA from 1 species